UUUAUUCCUAAUAUUAUAUCCGCUUUUUGCAUUUCUUCCUUUACUUCGAAUUCUAUUUUUAUUUUUCUAACUCCUGUUAUUAUUUCUUUUUCUGCUAUAUUUUUACUAUUUAUUAAACUUCUUGGUAGAUUUGGGCACAUAUCAUUAUCAAUUUUUAUUUCUUCAUUUUUUACUAGAUAUUUUACUAUGUAGUUCUCUUCUUGUCCUGUAUUCAAAAGUAUUAGAUAUUCUUUUUCAUUUAUUUUUCCUGUUAUAUAAUAUUGGUUUAGAUUACUUAUUGAAUUGUAGGGGGUGCGGAUAU
rnacentral:lncRNA from 1 species